GGUAGGAUGGCUGAGCAUAGCGGUGGAUUGUAGCCCCACAAACAGGGGUUUAGCCCCCUUCCUGCCA
rnacentral:tRNA from 2 species